CUCCAAAAUAUUGGUUUCCAUCACACAACUCUGUGUUUGUAUUCACAUUUCCUUCACCCCAACUGCUAACUACCGUAUGUUGCAUACAAUGCUUGACUUACGUAAACAUUAUGGCGGCCGUCUCACAUGCUCAGUGUCCAUCAUUCAUGCCCUGCAUUUUGUAUUCAGUAAAAGAGCGUACCGGCAGAGGUGCCGGAAUGUAUGUGCAAGUAUUUACGUGUCUGUCUGUGUCUGUGUGCGCGCGUGUGUGCGCGCAUAGUCGGCGUGGUACUGGCUUGAUGGAGGAUGACGAGGAGCCCAUAGUGGAGGACGUGAUGAUGUCAUCGGAGGAUCGUCUGGAGGACUUGAACGAGGGGAUGGACUUUGAUACCAUGGACAUUGACCUGCCUCCUUCCAAAAAUCGCAGAGAGAGGACCGAACUCAAACCUGACUACUUUGAUCCAGCCUCUAUUAUGGAUGACUCGGUCCUCAAUGUCCCCAUGUUUUAAGCUAAAGCCUAUGGAGGAGGGAGUAUGCUUUUUUGUUACAAAGGAAAAAAGAAAACUUUUUUGUGA